CAGAUCUUUCUUGCCUGCCUCCCUUCUCUCUCUCUCUCUCUCUCUCUCUCUCUCUCUCUUCCAAUUUUUUUUCUUGUUUAUCGUCGUUUGAUGUAUAUUACCUUCGUAUUUUUCAAAUCUACAAAACAAAAAUUGUUUUUCUUUCCGUUUUUGCUAUCUGUGUUCAUAUGUUUUUUUUUUUGGCUUUCCAUUCAAGUUUAUUUAUUUUUUGUUGGGUUUGAUUUGUUCUACUUUUUUGUUUCUUGUUCUUCAAAUUUUGAUUUAUAUGACUUGUGUUUUUUUGAUUUCUCCCCCACCAACGCAUCUUUACUAACUGUGUUUUAUUUUUAUUUCUUAGUGUUCUGAGUACCUGUUUUGAAUGGAAUAAAGGCAGACGGGAAAAAAUAGAUCUUGAAUUGUGGAUUGGCCGGUACUAAUCAUUCAACGUACAAUAGCUUGGCAUCAACCGUGCAUUUUUCACUGCAGGGAAUGAAUUGAGUAUGGUAUUAUUUCACCAUGCACCUUGGUCUAAUUACUCAUUCAGUGGAAAGACAGAAAUUCUUGUCGGCAAAACUUACUAUUGCUGACUGCUCACCAACUAAGGCCGGGGAAAGGAAAUAUAGGUGAAGGUGGACACGAGGUACUUAAGUUGCAGAACGGCCUACUUCAAAAAAAAAAAAAAAAAAAGUUGCAGAACGGCCAAGAUGGCGCAGGUGGGGUGUCUUGCAUUGAAUCCAGAAGCAAUCCUGCAACAAACGAUUGGGUUCCAAAGAUCAACGAAGAUCAGGUCUUUGUCUCCUCAAAACCAAAUCGGAGCGAGAGCUCUUAGAUGUGUCGGUAGGAGGGAGCUUUUGAGAAAGGGACUUAGCACCAACUUUUCCUGUAAACUUUUUUAAUCGAUAGAGAUUAGAUGAGCAUCAUGAAAGUUUUAAAAAAUUCACGUAAUGGGUUUUCAACUAUUCAAGCGAUGACUUCUCCCAAUAGUAUUUGUUUGUUUUCUC